rnacentral:misc_RNA from 1 species
AAUCGAUCUCAUUCAAGAGCUCUUCGCUAAUGCUAAAGAAGAUUAUGAUCAUCCAGAAGAUCAAAUCGCAGAUAUCCUUCCAGGGUUGUCUCCAAUACCCUUUAAGGAUUUACCCCAUGAGAUAAUCCUGAAAAAUCCGAGUAAUCCAGAUCCAGUGGUGCCACUUUUAUCAUCUAUGGUGAAAAAACUACCACAAGCAUCCGCUGUUCUGUUGAACUCUUAUGAAGAACUAAAUCCAACUCUCCUAACAAAUUAUCUCAAGUCCAAUCUUCAGAAUGUUCUCUACGUCGGUUCUUUAACUCAAUCACCACCAGCAUUUGGUGCAGAUGCCACAGGUUGUUGCCAUGGCUGGAUGAACAAAAAGUUGCACCUGUUGCAUAUGUGAGCGAUCGGAACAGUUGCAGAACUGGAUUCUGAGGAAUUAAAGGAAUUAGCUUAAGCACUUGAAGUUAGUGAAGUUCCUUUUCUUUGUUCUCUCAAAGACCACCUGAAGGAUUAUCUCCCAGAUGGAUUUGCUGAGAGAACUAGAAAGCAUGGAAAGGUAGUUCCAUAGUGGUAUGGGGUUAGAAGUUUAGGAAGUAAAUUGUAAUUUUCAGGGACUAAAAGUGAUAUUUUGUAUUUAAUUUCAUUUAUGUAAUAUUAGGGGUGUGAUAGCUCAAGCAUAGUGAUGUCUCAUCCUGCCACACCCCAUUAUGUUCCUAACGCUCUUUAGGGGGG